rnacentral:rRNA from 1 species
UUCAACUAAAGAGUUUGAUCCUGGCUCAGAUUGAACGCUGGCGGCAUGCUUUACACAUGCAAGUCGAACGGCAGCGCGGACUUCG